rnacentral:rRNA from 1 species
CGCUAUCACUCCUACGGGAGGCAGCAGUGGGGAAUAUUGCACAAUGGGGAAAACCCUGAUGCAGCCAUGCCGCGUGUGUGAAGAAGGCCUUCGGGUUGUAAAGCACUUUCAGUAGGGAGGAAGGUAGUGUAGUUAACACCUGCAUUAUUUGACGUUACCUACAGAAGAAGCACCGGCUAACUCCGUGCCAGCAGCCGCGGUAAUACGGAGGGUGCGAGCGUUAAUCGGAAUUACUGGGCGUAAAGCGCAUGCAGGCGGCCUGUUAAGUCAGAUGUGAAAGCCCGGGGCUUAACCUCGGAAUUGCAUUUGAAACUGGCAGGCUAGAGUCUUGUAGAGGGGGUAGAAUUUCAGGUGUAGCGGUGAAAUGCGUAGAGAUCUGAAGGAAUACCAGUGGCGAAGGCGGCCCCCUGGACAAAGACUGACGCUCAGAUGCGAAAGCGUGGGGAGCAAACAGGAUUAGAUACCCUGGUAG